UCUUGACGAAGUGUUAAAAAUACAACGACUCUCCUCGUGAUUGGAGUUCUUCCUUGUCAAUCAAAGCGGAGGGCAUCUUUAUACAAAGGACGGUGAUACUUUUUUUUGUUGUUUGUGGGAAGAAGGAAGGGGAAGCUCCAUUGGAGGUUGCCUGUUUCCGUUUCCGGCCGUUGAUCUUGUGGGUGAGAUUUGCCGGUCGGGCUUUCAAUGAGCUUGUGAGAGAAUAACAUGGGAAGAUUUGUAACAAAGAAGAAAGACGUAUAUAAAGAAAACGAGAAGUCCAGUGCCCUUUGGACAACAAAAUACUAGUAGGAAAGAAUUCUGAAUACAUCCAUCAUGGCAUAGUUGCUGCUCCAGAAAAAUGCAGGUUAAGGUAUCAUUACAUCACAAGCACAGAAACACAUUUGACAAACUGGAGAAGAGUCAAAGAUAACUGAAGGCAAAAUAUCUGAAGUGCAGAUGUGUCUUGAAGAUAAAACUCAGAAGGUCUCAGCAAGCAUUGAUUGGAGCUCAGAAGACUGGAUUAGAGUGCUGUUCUUUCUCUUAUGGCGAGUUCAUUAAAGAGAGCUUACUGGUGACCUGUGAAGAAGUCUAUCCAGAGAAGAGCUCAUCUUCACCAGCCAGAUCCCUUAAAAGCUGUUAUAGUCUAACAAGUACAUAAUGCUGUUCUUAAUUUUGGAAAGUAGAUGCAGAAGGAAUGAGCUCACUGGUUCUGUGGCUGUACACACAGGCAUCAAAGAGACUCUUAGAUCAGUAGAAUGCUCUUGGUGAGGUGGCCACAUUAGGUGAGAUUGGUGUUCAUGUGCCCUUCAGUCAGGAGCACUGGAACAUCGUGGCUCAACUGGUACAGAUCCUGAAGCCUUCAAGAAUGCCACAGAGACCCUCAGUGCUACCACCACUACUUUGAGCCAGAUGGCGGAAGACCAUUUCCUUGUGGGGUCUUCACAGCAAGUUCAAAUUCUUCUUCUUCUAGUCAAUGUCCAAACAGUUCAAUAAAGCUUUUGAUUCAAGCCAAAUAUGGGAUGUGUGGUCUUUCAAAACUGGACAAAGCCUGAUCGUUCAAAGAUGGGCGGAGCCUGACGGGCGUGUGCCAGCAUUAUAAUCUCGUUUCGUACUAAUCACUUUUUCGAAGGCCCAAUCAUUCAACAAUCAAUACAAAAGCAUGUCAAAUCAGUUUCCAGUGGGUGUGACAUGCAACGGGGGGGAACUUGCUGAUAUUCAAAGUUUGGUGUUCAAAUGGAUGCUUGUCACAUUUCUCAGUUGGCAAAAAUGUUGUCUACAAAUGAAAUUGCAUGUGAGAGGACAGCACAUAUGCUUAGAGAAGCUGCAGCUGGCACUUGAGGAAAUGGUUUGUCAGUACAGAAAUUAAAAGGCUAAUGCUGGACAUGGAUAGUUUCUACACGUUUCCCAAGGAUGUUCAUUAAGAUCUUUGCUUUGAUCUCAGCGCUCACCUCUCUAGAAGAAUAAAUGUACAGGUUGUCUGCUAUGCAACUCUUUGGCUAAAUUGGAAUUCAAGAAUUUGGAACAACAUGCCUAAGUGGCCAUCAUCUGUUGCAAGCACGUAUCUCUGUGAACAAGUAAUUCGGCUUGUCGGAGCAGCUCUGGAUGUUCUCUUUGUUAUGCAGUGCAACUCGCCAAGUGUGAAAUGAAGAUUGGAAAGCUGUCUGCGUAAGUGGAACAUGGUCCUGACUUCCGUGGUUUGGAGCAAUGAACUAUUAGUAAACAGACUUCUUAAAUUGAAUGUAAGAUGAAGGGAGUUGCAAGUCCUUCCAUUCCCAUUACUGAAGAUGAUGUGCUACAAAUGCAACCUGCCAGAAGUGGUGCUAAAUUGCACAGUGAUUACAUGCUCCAUUCCUGUGCACUCAAGAUGAAAUCUUUCAAAGCUACCAGGUUGCAAUUCUUGUAUUACAGCGAACACAUGAAGCUGCCUUCUGCAGAGUCACUGUUGGCCUCUCAAGGUCACUGUUGUCUACUUGAGUGGCCUGGGUCUCAGGCAGAGGCCUUUCAGUUCACCUGACACCUGAUCUGUUUAAUCUGGGGAUUAAACUCUGGCAAAGCAGAUGUUCUACCUCUGAGCCAUGGACUGUCUCCCAGUGUCUUCAGUGUUGUGGCAUUAAACAAUUUUACCAUUUCAGAAUUGAUUGAUUUUGUGUUUAGGUCAUCCAUUGUAUAUUAAAAU